AUGUGGCUUGCAUUACAAUUCAAUACUGCAACAUGCACUCUGGAACUGAGGAAUGGAUUCAAUUUUGAAUUCAACACAUCUAUUGUUCAUAAAAUCCUUGGAAUUCCUGCUGGUGGCUUACCAAUAAAUUCUACACCAACCAAAGAAUGUGUAGAUAUUAUCAAUAACUUUGUACAAUCAUCAGCACCUACUACAGAGCAUCUUAUUGCGAUGAUUACGGACAACAUUUCCAAAGAAAAUUUCUCUACUAUAUUCUUGCUCCUCAUUAUCUCAAGCUUGAUUCCUCCUAAUGCGAAAGGUUCCCCAUCAAAGAAAUUCUACAGUGCUCUGCAAAACAUUAGUUCUGCUGGCAAAUACAACUGGUGCCUUUCAACUCUAUCCUACCUAGUACAUCAAAUAAAAAAAAUUAAGUCAGGUCAUCACCAGAAGAAGGCAUUUUAUCCUGGAGGCUGCAAACUAAUCUUGGUGGUUGCGCACUUCGAAUUCUUAAUUACUUCUGAAUUCAAGUUCCCUAUCGACAUACUGCCAAGACUCCCAUUGUGGUCAUCUAGCUUGCUAAAAACUUUCACAGCCCUAGACACAAUGCACGGUGUACACCUUCAGUGCGGAAGACUUCCGAAACAUAUUUCAUCAACUCCAUUCAACAAUAUAUCAAAUGAAGGAAUAAACAAACUCCCUACAUGUAUUCUACAGUACAUCAGUUCCAAAUUUCCAUCAAUCUACAACUUACAGGAGAAGGCAAUGCUUGAAGAUAUGACCAAGAAAUUUUGGCAAACGAUAAUAUCAAACUCCAUUCCAACAACGGAAAGAUACAUUGAUGAUCUCCAUUCGACAAUCUCCAACAGUUUGACCCACAUCAACAAUGAAAUGACAGAGUCUGCAAAUGAACAAAUUACAUCCCCGAACAACCACAUUUCAGUACACCAGCAAGCUGAACAAAUCUACUCAAACAAAUACUUCAAGGAUCCAACAACUUUUUUAUCGUCACAUGAUUUCCUGGAUUUCGCAAUGCCUUACAGUAAUCCUCCAAACUGGGAAAAGGAAGAUGGAGAUUCAUCCAUUCAAUGGUUGGACAAGAAAUUCUCAGAGUGCCUCCUUUUAGAAAACUCAUCAAGCAUUGAUGACCUGUUUCAGAAAAGCCCACCAACCUUUGAAGAUUUGUUCGUCAUCGAUAAAAUAAAUAAAGAAUAUGACUACCCAGAUAUCGAUUUCCUACAAGUACUCAAAGAUUACAUCUAUACGCACACAGAAGCGAAUGAGAUGCAAGAAACAGACAAAAUUGAUUGCACAAAAGAGAAAUUCUGUUUGACCCAACUGAAAUUCGUUAGACCUAAUCAUAACUGCAGAGAUAGCAAACUGUACUGUUUGCAACAAGGUACGGUUUCAACAACUACGCUUGCCCUAGAUGUUUCCAGGAAUACGAAAAGCUCGCAAUCAACGCCUCCUGCCAGAAGUUUUCCAACCACUCAAAACUACAACCUGGGUAGUACAUCCAAUGCGUGUCAACCACAUAAUUCAGAUAUUGACAUCCCUUCUUUUACCGCUAUAACAGACAGCCUGAAUUUAGUCCCUAUGCAAGAAGUCCCAAACAAUUACCAAGCAAAUUAUUCACCUCCUGGUUGUUCAUCAAUCCUUCCCAAAACCAACUAUGAAUCUCUUGUAAGGAAUUCAGGUAGCAACACUCAUUUCCUCUAUAGCAACAGCCCACUUAGGGCCUAUCACAAUUCUUCAGAAAAAGCAGCCAACAGAUUCAGCACCCCAUACCAGACCCUAUCAUGUACCAAGUUCUAG
rnacentral:rRNA from 1 species